UGCAGAAUCCCGCGAACCAUCGAGUCUUUGAACGCAAGUUGCGCCCGAUGCCUUCCGGCUGAGGGCACGCCUGCCUGGGCGUCACGCCAAAACACGCUCCCAUUCCUCCUCAUGGCGUGGGAUGCGGCAUAUGGCCUCCCGUGGCAUUAGGCGCGGUGGGCUGAAGAUCGGGCUGCCGGCAUAUCGUGCCGGGCACAGCACUUGGUGGGCGAUCUCGCUUUCUAAACCUGCAGUGCUCGGGGCGUAGACGGCGUAGCGGCCCUAAGGACCCAGUGAACGGAGCAUUUGCUCUGACCGCGACCCCAGGUCAGGCGGGACUACCCGCUGAGUUUAAGCAUAUAAAUAAGCGGAGGAGAAGAAACUUACAAGGAUUCCCCUAGUAACGGCGAGCGAACCGGGAGCAGCCCAGCUUGAGAAUCGGGCGGCCAUGCCGUCCGA
rnacentral:rRNA from 1 species